UCAGGAAUUGGAAAAGCCUCAAGGACAUGGGUUGGAAUUGAAAGAGCAUGGCUUAUGUGGGUUGGUUUUAGUUUCUUCGUGAAGAGAUGUACUGGUUCCAUUCCUUUGCAGGAGAUAAAGAGCUUCUAUGAAGAGAGAAGGCUGUUGUGGGAGCAGAGAUUAGCUAUAUUACCUUAAUUCUUAUAACUUGGAAAGACAAUGGAUGAAGAAUGGGUUCGCCCACAAACACAAGUGGGCGUGAAUGGUUAAAUUAGCUAUAUAUAUAUUUAUUUUUUUCAAGAUUGCGUGAAUGGUUUGUCCAGCAUGAGAAUGACCACUUAACUGUGACCCUUGUCGAUGGAACUUUUUCUGAUUCUCUUCUCUUUUUAUUUUUUGUUUGGUUCUUAGGAGCCAACGGGUGUAGUUUUUGCUUUGAAAAAAUUGUAUAUUUUGCCGAUCAGCCACGUCUCUAUCCCACACACACUAAGGUAAUCAACUACUUUUGCGGAACAGGAAAAUUUAGAAACAUAGCUACAAAAAUGGGAUUUUUGUAGCACAUGGUGUUUUUUCCCGCCAUCACAGUAUAGGUGAAGACUGAAGAUGGGAUAUAUAGAGAUGGUGAAGAUGGGAUUUGAGGGGAAAAAAAAAAAACAAAGAGUUUAACCAAUCAUUAGAGUGUAAUUAUUCCUAAUAAAUUUGGGAUUUUUAUUAUUUUUAUCUCAGUCAUUAUUAAUAUUAAACAUAUGGUAUGCGAUUAUUAUGGUUAAAAGGUUAAACAAAAAGAUGAAAAUUUAGGAACAUACCUGCAAAAAUUGUAAUUUGACCCUAAUUUAAUUUAAACACAAAACCUGACAAUAUAAAAUUAAAUUAAAUUAUUUUAAAAAUAUUAUAACCAACUUAAAAAUCGUUAAAUUGUCAGGAUAUUUCCAAAUUACAUGCCUAACAUGGGGUCGAACCCACAAGCAAUAGAGGGGGAGAACUUUUUAGAUGAUCAUUGCCUGCUUGUAUAUUUUCUGUGCCUGUGUCUCUGUUUCAGUGCAAAGCCUUUGGUGGCAAGUUUCAUAGAGUUCAUAACCUGUAUUCUCCUGAACACUCAGUUAACAGGAGAGAUUUUUCCAAAAGGAGGUUGCUAGAUUUCUUUCUUCUUUAUUAUCAUUUAAUCUUGUAAAUUUGAGGAACAUGCUAAAAGGGAAGACGUUAGUUGAUGAACAAUGCUAAGAUUAAAAACCACUUCAGGAUAAUUGCAUAGAAUUGUAGUUGUCAUUACAGCCGUUGAAUUGGCCAAAACAAUUAAAUGAGGGAGUUGAGUACUGGUUGGUUCAAAAGCUUUUAGAAGACAUGGAUGGUAAGUACUUGGAUAAAAAAGAAAGCAUGUGCAAGAAUUCCAGUGUGUAAUUUCACGCGUUAUCUUGUAAAUGGAGUUUGUUCCACAAAUUUGGGAUUUGAGAAAAAAAAAAAAAGUUUAACCAAUCAUUAGAGUGUAAUUAUUCCUAGCUAAUAAAUUUGGGAUUUAAAUCAUUUUAUAUUAUCUUUAUCUCAGUCAUUAAUAAUAAACAUAUGGUAUGCCAUUGUAUCGGAUUUGCCCAUUUGCCCUUUUCGCUCUCUGGCUCCUUUGAAACCCCACUGAUAAUAAGCACUUGGCUUCCGUAAUACCAUCUUAAUAUUAUAUUAUAAGAUUUUCCCUUGAAAUAUUGCGAAUAGAAUUUGGGGGCAUUGUUGCAAUUAUAUUUAACUUCAGAGCUACUUAUUUUCUGUCUAUUUAUAAGAAUUAUUAUUAACUCAUUAUAUGAUCUCCCUUUAUCCAUGUUUUUAAUGUACAAAAUAGAAGAAAAACCUAGUUUUCGUGUUAGAAAAUCAGUGGUGCCAGUCACUCACUACGAUUCCUGAAUCCAUUAGAAAUCUUCAGUCAUUGAUGGAAGUUUCAAUUAAUAGCAGUGCAAUCAAGGAAUUACCUGCUGCAAUAGGUUCAUUACCUUAUUUAAAGACACUAUUCGCUGGAGGGUGUCAUUUCCUGAGCAAAUUGCCUGAUUCAAUUGGAGGACUUGCUUCUUUUAGCGAACUAGAGCUAGAUGAGACAUCUAUAUGAGAACUUCCAGAGCAAAUUGGUGGUUUGAAAAUGAUUGAGAAGCUUCACUUGAGGAAGUGCACAUCUCUUGGAGCUCUGCCUGAAGCAAUUGGGAUCAUACUGAAUCUUACUACUAUAAACUUGUUUGGUUGUAAUAUUACUGAGUUGCCUGGAUCCUUUGGGAGGCUGGAAAACCUUGUGAUGUUGAGAUUGGAUGAGUGUAAAAAGCUCCACAAACUUCCAGUUUCGAUAGGAAAGUUGAAGUCUUUAUGCCACUUGCUAAUGGAGAAGACUGCUGUUACAGUAUUAUCUGAAAAUUUUGGAAAUCUCUCUAGCUUAGUGAUAUUGAAAAUGCAAAUCUCUCUAGACUGCGUUGAAGUAUUGCCUCAGCUAUAAAGUAAUACUUCAACGCACCAUGAAAAAAUAGAUUUGAAGAUUAGGGGUAACGCCAUUAAACAUGAUAUCAUUUCAAUAGAGUCAAAGAUUCUAUAUAAUGCAUGUGAAAAGAAGCUGCCAUUAAAGAUUCUGCUACUUGUAUUUUACCAUGAAAUAUCAUUGGUAACACAUAUUUUGAGACCAAUUGAUCUGUUUUUCAAUUAAAACAUAAUAAUAAUAAUAAUAAUAAUAAUAAUAAAAUCCAGUUAACGUAAAAAUCUCAUUAAAUCCUGAUUGCUUAAGAGCUUACUUCAUCAAAUAAUUUGCUCAUGAAUUACUGGUUUUUAGGAGCUGAGCACCUUUUACCUUAUUAUAAUUAAAGUAAAAUUUCAACAUUUUCAUAGAUUAUUUUUUAUAUUUGUAAAGUGUUUUGCCUGUAUUUGUUAUAUUCUUUAAUUAUAACAUGGUUAGUUUGAGCAAUAUAAAACAAAAAGUGGCAUGAUAAACAAAUGGAAUAUAUAUGAAAGCUCAGCUUUUGGAUGAGAAGUGAAGUCGCAACAACUAUUAACAAGUAAAGAGUAACGAAUGCUUGUCAACUCCUUGUGACUGCAAGGAUCUAAAAAACUUAGUUGAGUGUUUACAAAAAUAUUUUACGUAUCCAUCUAUGUGUCUGGAUCAAAUGUAUAAAAUGAGUAUGGUACAUAUCUCAAUUACUCGUCUUAAAAAAUAAAUUUUUCUCCCAAUAGAAAGCAAUCUAAGAGCACCUAAAGCCUUUAAACUUUCUUGGACAAACAUUGACCAAAUAGUUUUCUCCACCAGAUUCUGCAUAUAUAUAUAUAUAUAUAUCAAAACAACUCGUAGAUGUAUAUCGAAAAACUUAUGCAUGUAUCUAAUUAAACAACCCAAUAAAAAUACAGGCAAGAAUAGAAAUGGUACAAAUUGUUUUUUUUUUAAUGAGUAUUUUUUAAAAAACAUAUUUGUAAUUAUUGUAAAAAAAAAUAAUAAGAUUUUUAUAAUUUUUUGUAACUAUUGAAUCAAAGCUAAUCCCAAAAGUUAAAUCUAAUAUAUAAACCUGGUUAGUUUUUAAUUUUAUUUUACAUGUUAAAUAUUUAAUAUGAUUUGAAGAUUUGAAGAAUUUAUAUUUUUAUUUUAGUGUAAGUAGUCAAUUGCACAAAAACAAAUCAAAAUAAAUCUACUUGCAAUCACUUUUCAGUACACUCAAAGACUCUAUCACUUCUUUGAUUGUUGUAUUUUAGCUAUAUAUGGCCUUAUGAAGACAUGUAAGUACUGCUUGUUCUUAAUAGAUAGGUCACCUGUAUUGUAUUCUUGGGGGUAUAAUGAUCUUGAUUUGAUUGGGAAACCAAGCCUUCAUAAAAAUAAAAAUAAAAAAACCAGAAGAAUCAAACAAUACAAUUAUGAUCAUGAGUCAAUCCUAAAGGGUGUAGCUCAAUUAAUCAGGUCUUGGAUUUGUUCCUUAGUAAUUACCAGUUUGAGUUCCACAAACCUCAGGGUCACUGGAGGCUUACAUGGUCGUUAACUUCAAGGCCCGUGAGAUUAGUUGAGGUACGCGCAAGCUAACCCGGACACCCACGCUAAUAAAUAAAAAAUUAUGAACAUAAUUCAUUAAUACUAAUUAAAUUAAAUUAAAUUCACAUUGAUGUAAAAAAAUACAAACAUAUAUCUAGCCUCAAGAUUUUAAGUGUUUUAAUCCUUGUAAUAAAGCACAACCCUGAUCAUGUCAUUAGCUUCAUCUCUCUCCAUGAAGAAGACAACCCUGUCUUCGGGAGCAAGGCCUUUCUGCUCUACAAAACGAUGCCAAGAAGAGCGUAGAAGAACGGGUUUUGGGUAAGCUCCAGUCAGACGGGUUGACAAACAAAACCUCCAUGCAUUAUCAGUAGCAUCGGCUGCUUCAAAAUUCAUCAUAUGGGCUCCUUCAGGAAUUGGAAAAGCCUCAAGGGCAUGGGUUGUAACUGAAAGAGCAUUGCUUAUAUGGGUUGGUUUUAGUUUCUUCGUGAAGAGAUGUACUUGUUCCAUUCCUUUUCAGGAGAUAAAGAGUUUCUAUGAAGAGAGAAGGCUAUUGUGGGAGCAGAGAUUAGCUAUACUACCUUAAUUCUUAUAACUUGGAAAGACAAUGUAUGAAGAAUGGGUUCG
rnacentral:lncRNA from 1 species